rnacentral:rRNA from 1 species
GAUGAACGCUGGCGGCGUGCCUAAUACAUGCAAGUCGAGCGAACAGAUAAGGAGCUUGCUCCUUUGAAGUUAGCGGCGGACGGGUGAGUAACACGUGGGUAACCUACCUAUAAGACUGGGAUAACUUCGGGAAACCGGAGCUAAUACCGGAUAACAUUUAGAACCGCAUGGUUCUAAAGUGAAAGAUGGUUUUGCUAUCACUUAUAGAUGGACCCGCGCCGUAUUAGCUAGUUGGUAAGGUAACGGCUUACCAAGGCGACGAUACGUAGCCGACCUGAGAGGGUGAUCGGCCACACUGGAACUGAGACACGGUCCAGACUCCUACGGGAGGCAGCAGUAGGGAAUCUUCCGCAAUGGGCGAAAGCCUGACGGAGCAACGCCGCGUGAGUGAUGAAGGGUUUCGGCUCGUAAAACUCUGUUAUUAGGGAUGAACAAAUGUGUAAGUAACUGUGCACAUCUUGACGGUACCUAAUCAGAAAGCCACGGCUAACUACGUG